rnacentral:lncRNA from 1 species
AAAUUUUGUCCUGCCUUUUUUUUAGCUGUAAUCUCUGUCCUGCCUUUUUAUUUUUUACUCUGUUCGGUCCUGCCUUUUUUUUUUUAGUUUAUCCUGACUUUUUCUUACCUAAAUUGUCAUCCUGACUUUUUUUUUUUUGCAAGUGUCUCAUCCUGCCUUUUUUUUUUUACUCAAAACUCCUGUCUUGCCUAUUUUUUUCAAUUUUCAUCCUAGCCCCCCCCCCCCCCCCCCCCAUAAAAAUCAAAUGGUAGCUCCCUAAGGGGUUAAAAAUAUACCAAAGUAGACUAUCACAGUAGAGCUUCUCUCGAAGAGUUUGAAAUCCUAUCAAUAAGGGGGUAAAAAUAUACCAAAGUCGACUAUCACAGUAGAGCUUCUCUCGAA